rnacentral:tRNA from 1 species
CCGGGCGUUGUCGAUGCAGACGGCGGCGCGGGCGGCCAGCUCGACGGCGAGCGCCCGGUCGCGCUCGCCGAAGGGCUCGCUGCCCUUCGUCCGGG